AAAUAUUGAAAUUUAAAAUUUAAAAUUGAAAACUUAAAAUUUAAAAAUUUUAUAUUUUAUCUUAAUUACUAAAACUAAAGUUUAAAAUAUUCAAAAUUUAAUAUUUAAAAUUUUUAAAUUCAAUUUAUAAUUUAAUAUUUAAAAUAUUGAAAUAUUGAAAUUUGAAAUUUAAAAUUUAAAACUUAAAAUUUAAAAAUUUUAUAUUUUAUCUUAAUUACUAAAACUAAAUUUCAAAAUUUUACAAUUUUAAAAUUUAAAUUUCAGCUU
rnacentral:lncRNA from 1 species